UCCGGCUCGAGCUCUCUCUUCUCCGACGACCACGACCUCGACGACCCGCUCUCUCAGACCCUCUCAUCGAUAUCAAACGACCCACUCUCUCAGACCCUCUCAGACCUCUCGUCAUCAUCUCAGAGUCUCUACUCGUAAUUGUCCUGUCAUCAUCUCAGGUGAUUGAUAAAGUACAGGAGGAGAAGACCCGCACUGGUUCACGCUCUCGAUCUCAUCUCUCUCAACCCUUUGAGGUCCCAAGCUUGAGGCUGUUGAAGCUGAAUAAUAAUGCUUUGCGUCUGAUCAACCUGAGAGGAGGCACGUUUCUUUCUUUUCAGGAGGCACGAAGACGUUCUGUUGGCAGUGAUCUUGGAUAUGGAAAAUGAAGAAUAUCGAGAAUCAACAGGUACAUCUUCUAAUACUGCAAAGAGAAGAAAAACAUCGGAUAUGUGGCAAUAUUUUAGAGUAGAAAAAGAUGAGAAUGGGGAAGAGAGAGCAUAUUGUCUGAAAUGCUCAAAGAGCUAUGCAUAUACAUCAACAAGUGGAACCUCAAAUCUGAAGCGUCAUAAGGAGAAAUGCUUAGGAAUUUUAGAGGCUGAAAGAAGGGUAGUGAAUUUUGAUGAGAGAGUUGCUAGGGAGAAGUAUAGUCGAGUCAUUAUUAGACAUAAUCUUCCUUUCAUUUCGGUUGAGUAUGAAGAGCUGAGGGACUAUUGUAGCUAUUUGAAUCCAGAUUACAAGUGUUACACUAGGAACACUGCUGCUAGUGAUGUUAUGAAAACUUGGGAGAAAGAAAAACAGAUCUUGAGGUCUGAGCUGGAAAAGAUUCCUAGUAGGAUAUGCUUGACCUCAGAUUGUUGGACUUCACUAGCAGGAGAUGGGUACAUAGCUGUCACGGCACACUAUGUUGAUGCGAAGUGGGUGCUACAUAGCAAGAUUUUAUCGUUUUGUGAAGUUCUUCCUCCCCAUAGUGGUGAAGUCUUAGCUAGUAAAGUCCACGAAUGUCUGAGAGAGUGGGGAAUAGAGAGAAAGGUGUUCACUUUGACUCUGGAUAAUGCCACGGCUAAUGACAACAUGCAAGACGUAUUGAGGGAUCGGCUUAAUCUAGAUGAUAAUUUAGU